rnacentral:lncRNA from 1 species
AAUAAUUAUUAACAUAUUAAAAAAUUAUGUCCAUUAUUUUAUUUUUUAUUUUUUAUUACUAAAAUCAAAAGAAGAACAUUUUUCUAUUUUUAACAUAAAAUUAAAUCUAAGUAUAAAAUUGAAACAUCUAUUAUUAUUUUUAUUACAACUAAAAUUACUAAAAAAAAGUAAAUUAAAAAAAAACAUAGCUUGUGCUAAUUUAAAUUAUUACGAUUCUUAUUUUAAAAAAAAACAGAAUACAACAACCCCUCUAAAAAAAUAUAUACACAUAUUAAAUAAGUCCACUAAAAUUAGUAAAAUUCUUAACAGUGAAGGUGAAAAUAAAAUAAAUGGGUUAGUAGAAAAUCGUGACCAUGUACAAAGUAAUAUAUAUCACAAGACAAUAACUACUGGACAAAAAGCGAACGGAUUAGUAGUAUCCUUAAAAAGUGAAAUAAAAAGCGGCGUGAUAAAUGGCAAAAAAGGAGAAAAAGAAAAACAAAGGAAAAAAGAUCAAAUGGUAAAGAAUCAUAGCAAUAUGGUUGAUAUUAAUGAUGAACAUAAAAGAAGUGUAAACAAUGUGCUUAUCGAAACAAAUACCUCAGUUAAAAAUAUGGUUGACAAUGUAGAAAACGAACAAACUAAAAAAAGUAGUAAUAGUCAUGAAUCUAAUAAUAUUCCAGAAAGUAGCGAAAAAAAAAAUUAUUACAUGAACAAGUCAGCUAAAAAGCAAAAAUGCUGUAAAAAACAUAAAAUUUUAAAAAACACAGCAGAUGCAUUUUAUUUGUCACUUUUUGAAAUUCUUUCAAUUUUUUCAAACAUAAUGAACACACCUAAUUUAAAUUUAAUAAAAGAACAAAAUGUUCAUUUAUUUUUAAAAAAAUUUCGAAAAAAAAAAAAAAAACUUAAAAUUAAUAAAUGCUUUUUAAAAAAUAAUAUGAUACGCUAUAUUAUAUUAUUAAUAACAGUACGAGAAAAACUAUCACUAGAAUUUUCAAAAUGCAGAAAAUAUAAAGUAUGUAUGAAAAAAUAUUACAAUAGCAACAGUAGUAAAAACACGAUGACAAAUGCAAAAAAAAAAUACAAGUGUACUUAUCAUACGAAAGAACUUGAACAUUUAAUGUUAAAAUCAUUAAAUGACAAAUUGGAUGAACUGGACGAUCAAUUAAUAAACUACAAAUCUAAUGAGACCAAUGAAAACGUUAUAGAAAUGCCAAUAACAGCACCAAAAGUUAUACCUCGUUCAGGUAAAAACAUAAAAAAAAAAAAAAAAAACAUAUACUCACAAAAUAAAAAUACAGAUGAUGUAAAAAAAAGUUCUUUAGUAGUAAUAAAACCUGAGGAAAAACAUGAUGAAGUAGAAAAUAGUCAAACAAUAGUUCCCAAAAGUUUAUAUAUUAUUAAAAUAAGAAGUGAAAUAAAAAGAAAAUUAUACUAUUUAAAAAAACAAUACACCAAAAACCAUAAAAAUUAUAUGAAUGUAUUAGCUUAUUAUAAUAUUUACAUCACUCCUUCUGAACUUAUUUUGUUUUUUUUAAAAUAUGUUGAAAUGGUGAAAAUAAAAAAUAAAAUAAAAGCUUCCUAUAACAAUUUGUUAUUUUUUUUUACUUUCCACAUUCUAAUAUAUAGAACGUUUGUGUUAUCACAAAAAGACAAAACAUUUUAGGACGCAUAAAAUUGUGGUGCCAUUUGUAAACGAGUUAGUUACUGUGAAAUGUACAUGCU